rnacentral:rRNA from 1 species
CGGAGUGGACGCAUCACUGGUGUUCGGGUUGUCAUGCCAAUGGCAUUGCCCGGUAGCUAAAUGCGGAAGAGAUAAGUGCUGAAAGCAUCUAAGCACGAAACUUGCCCCGAGAUGAGUUCUCCCUGACUCCUUGAGAGUCCUGAAGGAACGUUGAAGACGACGACGUUGAUAGGCCGGGUGUGUAAGCGCAGCGAUGCGUUGAGCUAACCGGUACUAAUGAACCGUGAGGCUUAACCUUACAACGCCGAAGGUGUUU